CCGUCACAGGAGCCGCCACGGGAUCCAGGUCCCUAGCCAGGCACCAACCAGUCCAAGCUCUCCAAGCGGUCCCGUAUGAGCGUCUAGUGCCGGGAGCCCAUGCGUCAGCCAGGAGGCAUCGAGUUGUGUCCGAAACUCCUUGGACUUCCCAAGGACCCCUGAAAUCCUCCAUGCGAGUAGCCGUAACGAUCCGUCCAGUAGGAGGGGAUGUUGUUGGCCCAACGGGUUCAGCAGAAGGUCCUGGUUGGAUGGCAGGAGUGCGGGAACGUCUAUUGCCAGUUCCAGGAGUUGUGGGAACCACGACUGGGUACCCCAGAAUGGGGUUAGUAGGACCAAAUCCGCCAUCUGGUGUCGUACUUG